rnacentral:rRNA from 1 species
GGCACCCUACGGGGCGCAGCAGUGGGGGAUAUUGCACAAUGGGGGAAACCCUGAUGCAGCAACGCCGCGUGAGGGAAGAAGGUCUUCGGACUGUAAACCUUUGUUUUUGGUGACGGAAGAAAUGACGGUAGCCAAAGAGGAAGCUCCGGCUAACUACGUGCCAGCAACCGCGGUAAUACGUAGGGAGCGAGCGUUGUCCGGAAUUACUGGGUGUAAAGGGUGCGCAGGCGGGACAUUAAGUUGGAUGUGAAAUGCCGGGGCUCAACCCCGGAGCUGCAUCCAAAACUGAAGUUCUUGAGUGAAGG